rnacentral:rRNA from 1 species
GGCCAGACUCCUACGGGAGGCAGCAGUGAGGAAUAUUGGUCAAUGGUCGGGAGACUGAACCAGCCAAGCCGCGUGAGGGAUGAAGGUACAGAGUAUCGUAGACCUCUUUUGUCAGGGAACAAAGGCGGGGACGUGUCCCCGGAUGAGUGUACCUGAAGAAAAAGCAUCGGCUAACUCCGUGCCAGCAGCCGCGGUAAUACGGAGGAUGCGAGCGUUAUCCGGAUUUAUUGGGUUUAAAGGGUGCGUAGGCGGUCCGUUAAGUCAGCGGUAAAAUUGCGGGGCUCAACCCCGUACUGCCGUUGAAACUGCAUCCCUUGAGUGCGCGAGAAGUAUGCGGAAUGCGUGGUGUAGCGGUGAAAUGCAUAGAUAUCACGCAGAACUCCGAUUGCGAAGGCAGCGUACCGGCGCCCAACUGACGCUGAAGCACGAAGGCGUGGGUAUCGAACAGGAUUAGAUACCCCUGUA